rnacentral:rRNA from 1 species
UCGAGCGACGGACGAGAAGCUUGCUUCUCUGAUGUUAGCGGCGGACGGGUGAGUAACACGUGGAUAACCUACCUAUAAGACUGGGAUAACUUCGGGAAACCGGAGCUAAUACCGGAUAAUAUUUUGAACCGCAUGGUUCAAAAGUGAAAGACGGUCUUGCUGUCACUUAUAGAUGGAUCCGCGCUGCAUUAGCUAGUUGGUAAGGUAACGGCUUACCAAGGCAACGAUGCAUAGCCGACCUGAGAGGGUGAUCGGCCACACUGGAACUGGGACACGGUCCAGACUCCUACGGGAGGCAGCAGUAGGGAAUCUUCCGCAAUGGGCGAAAGCCUGACGGAGCAACGCCGCGUGAGUGAUGAAGGUCUUCGGAUCGUAAAACUCUGUUAUUAGGGAAGAACAUAUGUGUAAGUAACUGUGCACAUCUUGACGGUACCUAAUCAGAAAGCCACGGCUAACUACGUGCCAGCAGCCGCGGUAAUACGUAGGUGGCAAGCGUUAUCCGGAAUUAUUGGGCGUAAAGCGCGCGUAGGCGGUUUUUUAAGUCUGAUGUGAAAGCCCACGGCUCAACCGUGGAGGGUCAUUGGAAACUGGAAAACUUGAGUGCAGAAGAGGAAAGUGGAAUUCCAUGUGUAGCGGUGAAAUG